rnacentral:rRNA from 1 species
AUUGAACGCUGGCGGCAUGCCUUACACAUGCAAGUCGAACGGCAGCACGGGUGCUUGCACCUGGUGGCGAGUGGCGAACGGGUGAGUAAUACAUCGGAACAUGUCCUGUAGUGGGGGAUAGCCCGGCGAAAGCCGGAUUAAUACCGCAUACGAUCUACGGAUGAAAGCGGGGGACCUUCGGGCCUCGCGCUAUAGGGUUGGCCGAUGGCUGAUUAGCUAGUUGGUGGGGUAAAGGCCUACCAAGGCGACGAUCAGUAGCUGGUCUGAGAGGACGACCAGCCACACUGGAACUGAGACACGGCCCAGACUCCUACGGGAGGCAGCAGUGGGGAAUUUUGGACAAUGGGCGAAAGCCUGAUCCAGCAAUGCCGCGUGUGUGAAGAAGGCCUUCGGGUUGUAAAGCACUUUUGUCCGGAAAGAAAACCUUGGCCCUAAUACGGUCGGGGGAUGACGGUACCGAAAGAAUAAGCACCGGCUAACUACGUG